rnacentral:rRNA from 1 species
CACGUAGGGUGCAAGCGUUGUCCGGAAUUAUUGGGCGUAAAGAGCUCGUAGGUGGUUCGGUAAGUCGGGUGUUAAACCCCCAGGCUCAACCUGGGGACGCCACUCGAUACUGCUGUGACUAGAGUCCGGUAGGGGAGCGUGGAAUUCCUGGUGUAGCGGUGAAAUGCGCAGAUAUCAGGAGGAACACCAGCGGCGAAGGCGGCGCUCUGGGCCGGUACUGACACUGAGGAGCGAAAGCGUGGGUAGCAAACAGG